GUGAAAUUGUUACCCAUUCCCUCCAAAGCUCGUCAACAUCACCCUUUCAGAGAAGAAAAGCCUCACCAUCACGAAAACCCUCACCAAAUCGCGAAUGAAACGUAACAGUCAUCAUCACCCUUGUUAGCUUUUUCCUUCUUCGCGCCACUCAUCACCCCAAAUCAGAGAAAGGGUCCGCCAUCACCACACCACUCACGGCGUCACCACUCACCUCCAGGAAGACUCUACACUAACUCAUCUUCACCACUCACCACGCCGUCACUCAUCUUCACUGCACCGUCGCUUCUCUUCGCUGUGCGCUCACAUUAGGAAGACGCUGCGCUCAACUGAAAGCCUCUCUUCGCUCACCAUUGUCGAGAAGGAGAACUCAUUCUUCUAGGUUCGUUCACCACAAGCCCUAGGUUCGUUCGUCUAUUGUCUUUUCUUGCGAUUUUGUGUAUCAAGCAGCGGAGGAGAUAACUCAAAUCAAAACUUCAAGCAGCAAUGAGACUGUUGGAACAAGUAAAGCUGCAAAAUUCUUGAGAGCCAAUUGAAUUUCUCUUUUCAAAGUACCAGAAGAAACAGCAGAGCUACUUGGGAAAUCUGACCUGUAUUUCUUUAGCCUCGAGCAUCCUCCAUUGACCGAACCAGCUCAGAAAGCCCUUGACUGGGCCGGAUGAGAAAUUGAAGUCAGGAUUUUGGGAACUCCAACUGAGGAGCAAUGGCCGGGAGUUACUUUGCUUCGUGAUUGGCAUACCUACCCAAAGUGGGAACCUCAGAACUUGGCGAGGACUGUGCCAACUUUGGGACCUGAUGGAGUAGACCUUCUCACGAAAAUGCUCAAGUAUAAUCCUGCUGAGAGAAUCUCUGCCAAGGCAGCACUUGACCAUCCUUACUUUGACAGUCUUGACAAGUCUCAGUUUUAACAGCAGAUACUGUCCAAUGCUUUUGUGCAGAUAUUGUAUAUCAAUGAUAGUGAUAUAUGGAAGUAAAUGAAAGUUCACUCCUGGAGUGGAAUUUAAGCAUAUGUGAGAUUGAUGUUGUUUGGUGUUAAGUAAUAGUUUGUCAUCAUUAUCUUGGUGAUAUGAUCAUCUAAGUAGAAACUCUACUGAACCUUUAUCACUCUGUAUUACUCAUGUAGGCUGUGCAUGAUCACCAUUGUCCUUGUGUACUUGAAAAAAUGUCCUUGUGAGAUGUAUGAAUUUUUACAGUUAACUUCAUUCUAGUACUUUUGGA